rnacentral:rRNA from 1 species
CGGGUGAGUAACGCGUGAGGAACCUGCCUCAAAGAGGGGGACAACAGUUGGAAACGGCUGCUAAUACCGCAUAAGCCCACGGCUCGGCAUCGAGCAGAGGGAAAAGGAGCAAUCCGCUUUGAGAUGGCCUCGCGUCCGAUUAGCUAGUUGGUGAGGUAAUGGCCCACCAAAGCAACGAUCGGUAGCCGGACUGAGAGGUUGAACGGCCACAUUGGGACUGAGACACGGCCCAG